GGAAAUAACACAUCCGCUAAGCCUGAGUAAGCACAGGUCCCACACUGUGAACUUUCAGUGUUUCCUCUUUUCCAAGCCUCUUGUGUCUGAUUGCUUUCUUCUCCAAUACUACCCAGAUUAACACCUAGCACUCAGUGAGAGCCUCCUCCUAGGUUCUCAAAAGUUUAGUUCUUGGAGGUGAGAGACGGCUCAGUUAAUAAAGUGCCUACCACACAAUCACAAGACCUGAGUUCGAUCCCCAGCACCCACAUAAAAUGCCGGGAAGGGAGCAACCACUUCCAAUCCCAGCACUGGACAGGCAGAGGCAAAGCAGAUCCCUGAGGCUCACAGUCUAGCCUAACUAACAGGCCUCUUGUCCCAGUGGGAGAGCCUACUGAGGAAGACCCAACACACACACACACACACACACACACACACACACACAGCACUCACACGUGUGCACAUGCAUAUACACGUGCACUAGCACACACAUGUGUGCACAUAGAGGUGGGAAGAUUUUAAUUCUUUCUCUUCUCAAAAUAAGAAGAAAAACUAUGUCCUCCUUCCUCUUUACCUGCUCCCUCUGCCCUUCCUUCAUCCCCUCCCUCUCUCUCAAAUUUCUACCAUAUCAUAGACCCAGUAGCAGGCAGUGGCACUCCCAGGCUAGGAAUAAAGAUAAGUAGUCCCCCAAGUGACCACCAGUUUAACCUGGGCUGUGGUCACAGGAGAUACCUGAAGAAGAUAAAGUGCAUUUCCUGGUCUGACCUGUCAAGGAAGAACUGAGUUUUUAGAGGAAGAUGCAUCCCAGACAAGCCACCAUCUAAAAGAGUAGCUAGUAACUGACUGCACAGCAAGGAAGGAGGGAAGGACUCCCAGACUCUUGGAAGAGCAUCCUCCUGCAAGCCCUUGGAAGUCAGCAUGGAAUACUAAAGAAACUGUAGACGUUCUCUGAGCUGCCUGAUGGGGUGAGGCGUGUGGUGCUAGAUGAGGCUGGUUAUAAGGAAGUCGGGGGCACAUCCUUGAGGUCAGUUGAAGAAGUGUUUGCUGACCACUUACCCUGCACCCAACACCAAGGAUGCAGGGACACAGACCUGGUCCUUACUUACCCUCUGUAAGCUUACCACCUGGUAAGAGAGCCCAAAAUACAAACAGAACUUCAAUAUCAUGUGUCAGGUGCAAUCAUGGAGGACUCUAGCUGGGGAGAACUCACUGGAGUCGUGAGAAGUAAGGAAGAAAUAAGCAGAGGAUGGUGUAAACAGAAGUAUGUUUCUGGCCAAAGAGGGAAGCUAGAAGUGAAAGCUCACAGGUAAAAAGGUGUGUUGUGUGUGAUUUACCUGAGAACAAGUGUCCCAGACUUGCUGGGUACACAGCAUGACAAAUGUAUUGUUCACAAGAGCAAAGGGAAUGGAAAAAACAGAUAUUGGAGGGCACUGGUGUCCUAAGAGCUCCAGCAUCAUAUAGGUUCCGAAAUGCUGCAGAGUUUCAGUCAGAAGAGCAUACACUUAAUGCUGAUCACUGAUAACAGCAUCACCAAUGGUAGAUUUGAGGGAGACAGGCAUGGAGGACAGUCAGCAGACUCCAAUGGCUAUGAUGAAGAUACAAUAAAUGGAUAGAGAAUUGGAUGCAACCUUGAGAGGGUUUAGGAGGCAAGAGCUAUUCCCAGCAUGUACACAGGGGCUCACAACUGCCUGUAACUCAAGAAAUCUGACCCCAUUUCUAACCUUUUCAGGCACAUAAAUACAUGCAAGCAAAAUACUCAUAUACAUAAAAAAUCUAAAAUGCAAAUGUUCUAGCUCCACUUUCUAUCACCUCCCAUCAAGGCCAUCGGUUUAUGACUCCCGGAAGAAUUAACCCAUUCAUUAGGUCAGAGAAAGUCUUAUAGGCUUUUCCCAGUCUAUCAAACUGAUAAUCAAGAUUAACACACAUAGCCACUGUAAUCUAGAAGCAUCCCUGUGCAAAAGCAGCCCUCUCAAAACCAACACGUAGAAGUGGAGAAUAGCUCCUCUAUGAGCUGCUUCUAUAGGCAAGUGACUGGAGCAGCAGUACUACUGAUCUGUACAUGAGUCACCCGCACUGAAUACACAUUCCCUGUGCUGUCCAUAGGACAGAGCCUUGCUGCAGAAGCUCAGAACAUUUUGUUCUUGAACUCUGGAACUCUGGAUACAAAUGGUAUCUGUAAUAUUAUGCUAAUAAGAAGUGGUAUUGUAAGAGAGACCAUCAUUAAAGCAGUCUGCAUUGCUGCCGGGUGGCCUGUCUAUUUCCAACUUUAUGUAGAGUGAGUGGCAAUUUGUAGCCUAGUGCCAGUAGCUGAAAUGUGGUUAGAACAAUAAACAUAUUCACAAAAUGUAAGCUCAGCUUUUCAGGGCUUCAAUAUCUUAAAAAGAAAGAAAUAAAUAAAAAACGAACCCUUUCCUUCAAGAUUUUUUUUAAUAGAACUGGAACAUCUGAACUAAUUUAUAAAUGCACAAUUCCCUGCAUAUUUAUUUAAUCAAUUCACCUAUAACACUGGCCAUUUGUAUGAGACUGUAUAGCUCCUAGACACUUUUAGAGUCCAUUCAACUAAUUCUGAUAAAUUAUUCAACGGGGGCAAAGAGGGCUAGGGAGAUAGCUGUUGCAGGAUAUUUGAUCACACUGUGAACCCUGAGGUUGUGUUCUUUGCCAGAAAAACCUGUUUCUAGUUGAGGUGUGGCUCAGCCUUAGCACACACCUUUAAUCCAAGAGCUUUCUGCUUGAAUGUUGUAAGCGAGAUUAAAUAAAGCCAACCAUGGGUCAAGUGAUGGAACAAGCAACCAGUUGACCGUAAGUGAACAAAGGAUCGUUAAUAAAAAAGAGAGAGUAAGGGAGCCGGGAGGACAGAGAUGCACAGGAAGUAGAAAGGAGGGACAUUCAGUUUAAAAAAGGGUGUUUUGAGACAGUGUGAGAGAGGUGCAUGCCUCCAGGGUUGUCAGCUGAGGAGGAAAGGCACCUGGUGCUUUCUCUGCCUCUCUCAGCAUCAGGCUUCUACCCCAGCAUCUGCCUUCUGUGUCUUCAUUGGUAAAAUUGAACAAAUGGGAUUUUGUUUUAAAAACAAAAAACAGUUCAGCUGUUAAGAGCUCUUCUGCCCUUCCUAAGGAUUCAAGUAUGUUCAGUUUCUAGCACCCUAAGUGGGUAGCUCAGCACUGUCUAUAACUAAAACUCAAGCACAAAGGUAUACAUGCAACACCCCCUUCUAGCCUCUGUAGCCAUAAACACAUGUGGCACACAUGCACAUGCAUACUGAUCUAGACAGUGAAACUGAAAUCAUCCACAAAUCUCUGUUGGUUUUUUUUUUUUUUUUUUUUUUUUUUUUUUUUUUUUUAUGGUGGUUCAAAUGAGCAAUGCCCUGCAUGGAGACACGUAUAUUUAAACACUUGGUUCUCAGUUGGUGGCAGUGUUUUCAAGGUUUAGGAGUUGCAGCCCUGCUGAAGGAAAUGUCUUACCAGGGCAAGAGUUAGAGUAAGUACUCUCACCCCACUCCAGUUCACAUCCUCUCUGCCUUUAUGUUUCCAGUUCAGACUGUGCCCCUCCCCCACCCUCUGUCUUUCUCUCUCCCUCAGCUUCCUGAUCUUAGUAAUACCUCCCCACCAAUGAUGGACUCUAUGCUUCUGGAAAAGUAAACCCAAAUAAAGUCUUUCUUCUAUGUUGCCUUGACCCGUUCGUUACUUUCCUACCACUCUGAUCAAACACCAUGACCAAGACAACCUGUAAAAGAAAGCAUUUACGUGAGCUUACAGUUCCAGAGGGCUUAGAAUCCAUGAUGGCAGAACCAAGGCAUAGUGGAAGAAACAGCUGAGCGCUCACUUAUUGAUCUGCAAGCAGGAGACAGAGGGCACAUGAGUCUGCUAGGAGACUUUUGAAGCCUCAAAGCCUGACCCUAGUGACACUCCUCCUCCAACAAGGUCACACCUUCUAAUCCUUCCAAAAUAGUUCUACCAACUGGGGAUCAAGUAUUCAUAUACAUGAGCUUACGGACGAUAUUCUCAUUCAAACCACCAGAGUAUUAUUGUUGUUGUUGUUGUUAUUAUUAUUAUUUUAUAUUGCCAAUAUUCUCACAACGGGAAAAAAAUUCACAUCAACCCCGAGUAAGCCUUUUUCCUAUUUACCUUUCCCACCCUUUCCCAGCUUGUAGCCAACUGCCUUGUCCUUGGAUAUUUGUUCAAUGUCGAGCAGAAAACUGAAUUAGUUUUCUACUCUUACACAACUCAUCAUCUCUAAAAGUUGACAUCCUUGGAAAGUCAAAAUAUGGGGACAGUUUCCCAGUUAUCCAUCACAACAACGUUAAGAACUGUAGGGGAAAUGGCAGUACUCCACUAUCCAAAAGUAACAGAAUGAUUGAACACGCUACAAGGCUAAUUGCAUAAAAGACUGUGCACCAUUUCGAAGGUUGAGAGUGGAGAGGAAGCGGCUAUAUGAGAACUGCUCACACACAGCUUUCACAGAGACAUGGGGUCCCUCUGAGGCUCUGACGGGUAAUUAAGAACAUCUAUCACUACUCUGUGUAACCUGUGAAGACACUCUUGCUCUGCUCGUUCCCAUCUCGGAACAAGGCAGUGGUAUUUGGAGCCACUUCCUUCACAUCCAUUACUAGAUAGAUCCUCAUAAUAUCCAGAGGUAAACUACCAACCACCUAUGUCAGCUACUCUUUAAGGAGUAGCAACCUAUUUGUAGUCACUAUAGUCAGUAAGGCUUGGUGAGUGGUUCAUGGAUGAGAUUCCAGAGUUAAAGAAUGCCAGCGCAGACUGGGUGAGAAGUCAGUCCCACCAUGCUGCCUAUUUGAAUGCAGAUUGAUAUCCACUCCCAGCCAAAACACAGAGAAUUUAUUUAUUUUUCCUUCCCUUUCCUAGUCUUAUGUCACCCUGAAACCAAAAAGCACAUGAUAUAGCAAAAUAUUAUGGUGUAAAAUGAAAAAUAUAUUACACCUUUGGGCUAAAAAAAAUGUUGUGCUUAUGAGACAAAUGAAAAGCAGAAUCGAUGUGUCCUGCCUCUUAAAGUGAAGAAUUGCCCUUCAAAAAAGAAAGGGGCCUUCAAGGAUGUCUUAUGAAUUUUUAAAAAAAAAAAAAAGUUCUUUUACACACAACUAUUUAUGAGCAAUCAUCUCCUGAGACACCACAUAAAGAUCUUCUACACAUUUAGAUGUUUCUGUAAAAACAAUGAGGAGUGACCAGAAAGGAUCAGAGAUUUUGAGAACAACAAACCUCUCAAAGCAAUCCUCAAAGCAAUAUUUAAAAAGCUGGAUGAGAUCCACCAGUGCCGUUAAAGCUUUGGUUUUCAAACACCCUUGGGCUCUAGCUUAAAACCACAGUGCAAACCACACUCAGGAGAGAAGAGGGUGGGUGCUUCAGAGAACACAAGGAAGCCUGCAGUUCUGCUGAUCACCCACCAUCACAGCUAAAAUGAAACCCUACCAAAGAAGUCUUCCAUGAACGCUAUAGGAUACGCAGCCCUGUGGAACCCAGAGAUAGAGUUCACGGUCCAGCGAGGACUGCUAUGGCCUGUCCUUCUUCCAGCACACUAAACGGGGGCAGGCCAUCACGCCUGAACACAGCACGAUCUGUUUUUGUGGCACGCAUUAAAGACCUUGAAGUGACGAAUCGUCAUCUCCCUCAACCUCUAAGGUAACUGGCCAUAAAACUGUUUUAUGUCCCUGGUAUUCCUAGCCCUCCUGUAAAAACAUAGCUGUAAUUCAGUGUUGGCAAUAUGGUGUUAUUCAUAAAGCAUUCACAAUACACCUUCCAGCUCUGAAUGCCAUCUGAACUUGCUGGUGGAAUUACAGUCUGGCGUUCAGUUGGAUGUCCUACCUGCAUGAAAAUUACAAGCAGUUGCCAACACCUCCUGGGGCCCUAUCAAACCUCCAAAGGGGACAGUGCUUCAUACAACCUCACAAAACCUCCUCAAGGAUAUCCAAGAGCAAGAAUUGGAUGAAGCACUUAAAAACAAUUCUGGUUUAUGGGGUGGGGGGAAUAAGAGGCAGCUCUCAAAAUGAAAUUGUGUUGGGAUUUUUUCCAAAAGAAAGCAUCUGAGAGUUUGACUCAACUGUGGCUGGUCCCAAAUCACUCACCACCAUCAAGGGCACGGCUAUAGCCUGGGCCUGACAGUUUUGGGAAGGCAGGAGAGAAAAUGACGUUUGGGUGUUUGCCUUUUAGGGAGUUUGAGAUUGCUCCUCGUCUAAUGCUCUUUGCUAAAAGCAACUUCAUGUUCCAGUCCAACUCUGUUGUCAGAGAGAUGCCUCCUAUCCCUUCCUGCUUGGUUGGGAACAAUCCCAUGUUUAUUUUAUUGGUUUUAUUAAAUGUGUUCAUUUUGUGUGUUCAUGUUCCCACGAGUGUGCAUGUAUGUGCACAGGCACAUGUAUGUGCACAAUCGUGGGUGAAAUUUCUCAAGAGCUAUCUGCUUUGUUUUGCAAUGGUCUCAAAGUAGCACCCAGGCCUAUCAGGCUGAGCUAGCUGGUCAGAUAGUAUCUGGGAAGCCUCUUGUAUCUGCCCACCUGGAAUUACAGAUGGGGCUAUACAGCUGGCUCUCUCAGGUAGCUUCUGGGGAUGAAGAGUUCACGGCUGGGCUAGCUCCCCAGCCUUCUCUUUUCACUUCAAGGAAUGACUCACAAAUCAAACCUCCCUUUCAGCCUCUCAUACUGCAGCACCACAGCCAGAGUUGUGUUUUAGGGCCUCUUUUUCUUAGCUCUACUCUUAAUUUUCCAUUUUAUUUAUUUACUUUUGGUCUUGUGUGAUCCCUGUGUUUUUAUAAAUCAUCUUCCUUUCUUAAGUUUUUAAUAAGAUGGUCGUUUUCCUCAGAGGUGGCCUCUUGAGACUGUCUCGUGUCUAUCCCACAUGACUGUGGGAUAUACAGCUCAAUGAACAGAUCAGCCAGCUGACCUCUCUGCCAUGUGACUGUGUCACAGGACCUCAGUAAGCCAAGUAUCUCCACCACCAGGAAAUAGGGUCUGUGCUAUGCCUGUGUCUCAGAUUCCAGGUCUUUCUUUUAGACUCUCUUUGUUUCUUCGAAGCUGUGUGGCAAUAGAAGUUUGAGAAGUUAAGCCACUGCACUGAAUAUGUAGCGUUCCUUCAUUAAGUCAGCCACAGGUGCAGAAGACCUCGAGCCUAGGAUCAUGGCAGGAGCUGAGGAACAGGGAAGAGCUAGCAGAAAACUCAACAGCUUUAUUGCCACACAGUUUACUUCUUCCACUGCUUUUUAGGCACUCACUGUGGGUGACAGAUCUGAUGAAUCUACAUUUAACAGAUCCAUUUUGUGUUUGUUAUUAAGUCUUGGCCUAGAUAAUGAGGUGCAUGUGGAUUCGCUGGAACACAUGACAUCCAAGCUGACGGUUCCAACCCUUUCCUCUAAGGACAUACCCAUGGGGCAAGAUCCUCCUCAGUUUUUACCAUUUUGUAGACAGGUCAUCCAGGCCACCAGAGUGGACAUCACUCGGCUGACCACUAUAGAACAAAACUUGCGGUAAGUUUACAGGUAACAGUGUGUUUACUUCUGUCAUAUGAUUGGGCAGGGGAGGGGGGAGACAUUCCAGCUGCAUUCCACAAGAUUCUUAACUGUUUUAGAGUUCCACACUACUACAGACAGUCCUGGAAGGAGCUGAGAUGAAGGAGGGAAACACCAGGCAGAGUCCUUUAGGUGAAAAUUUGUACCUUUGUUCUCUCUACUUAGCACGCACACUUGCCUCGUGCUGUUCUCUAGGUAAGAGGUGGCAUUGAAUGAUGGCCACAGAGGAGACACACUGCCUGGGAGAAACAUUACCUGGAGAUGCUCACACCAUAGCAAGAAGCUGCCCCGGAGCCUGAACUCCAUGCCUUCCCUGCUCAACCUCUGCAUUAUUCCAAAGAGAGCCACUCAUCAGGGAAACGAUGUCAAUAAUGACUUUACAUCAUGUCUCUCAAAUAUUCCCAGCUCAACAGAGGCCAACGGAAGUGUGGUCCUAUCGCACUGUUACCUCUAUCUGGGCGGCCAUUGAGAGUCGCUGAGGAAAUCUUUCAGAAAACACACAGCGGUCAAGGAGGAGCUUUAGCAGAAGUUAGAGACGUGAAGAGGGAGGAUGGGGGUCUAGCAGAAGUGGGAUGGGCUUCACUCGGGUCCCUUGUUUUGAUCCAUUUAGAGAAAGUUCAUUCAGUAGCAAGAUGGAAGCCUCUGAGCCACACCUCUGGAUGCACAGAGAGGUCUCUCGGCAUCUGAACCUUCGUUAAACAUACAGACUCUCACACCAUCCAACCUCCUGGGACAUCUCUGUACGGCUGUUGUCAUACUACAGUCUCACCAGCUUCCUUUCUGUAUCUGUCCCUACUACUCCAGCCAUCCUCUGAUAUCCAGUUGUCACAGUUUAAACACUAAGCAUCUCUGAACAUCUCCAAGAACAUCCACAAUGUGUAACGCACAGGCCUUGGCUCUAAUCCGCAUCUAAUUAGAUCUUCACCCUAUCUAUCGGUUGGGUAAUACAUGGUUCUACGAUGGCAACCAGAGAGGACAAUAAAUAGAUCCACUACCCAACGUUAGCAUCUCUAAGCUGUGUGAGGUGGGAGCCACUUUACCUCCAUGGGCUUCUUUUAUUUACCGCUGUGUAAUGAAGGCAAAAGGAACAACACCUCUCAAGGAGACCAAAAUGAGCAAGGCAAUGCAUAAGCAGUAACAAAUGGGCUGAGGAGUUGGCCCAGUGAGUAAAGUCUGUAUCCUCAGAAAACACGUACAAAGCCCAGCAUGGUGGAGUGUGCCUGAAACAGAUUCUGGACCUCCCUUGUCAGCUAGUCUCAUUAGAAGGGAAAACUCCAGAUUCAGGGGGAAACCGUUUCUAAUAAAUAAGGUGGAGACUGAUAAACAAAGAUACCAGAAACUGACCUCUGACUUCUACAUGCAUACACAGGUGAGCAUAGAUGCACACACAUGUACACUCACAUACAAAUACAGCGCACGUACACACACAUGUGCACACCUACAUAGUACUAAUAGCAGCAAUCCUGUUUUCAUUUUCUUGUCUGAAAAAUGAUAUUUUGGUUAAAUCACUUUAAAACCUCUUCUGGCCCUAAAAGACCAGGAACGUGAGCCCAAUAAAAAUCUUCCAUUUGUUUUAGUUCAAAGACUGCAAUAGUCCUAGAAUUAUUGUUCUUAACUGGUGCAGAAGAAGACAUGAAAGAUGCAAACAGAAAUAGACGUGCAGUGUGGCCCACAGACUCUUAAAAUGCUUCCUUUAAAGAUGAAAGAUGAGUAACAUUCCAGCCUCAGGUGUGUCUCAUUUCUGUAUUACUUGAUUGAAUAGAAAAAUCUGAGACAGUAAAGAAAUACCUUUUCACAGAGUAAAGGACCUAGCACGCUGAGAUGUUAGGCAUGCACUCAUGGAGGUGUGAGGUAGACUGAGAUAGGCAAGAGCUCAUGGAGGAGUAAGGUGGAUCAGCCAGGGACGCUGGAAGAUUGAGGGAAAGCACUUAAGCUAAAGAUAUUCCACUCGUAUUUUCUAAGAAUCUGAUCUCUGCUGGGUGCAAUGGAUUAUAUCAGCAGUCUUUACACAUUUGAAGGAGUGAAGGAAAAGAGAAGAAAUAGAUACAGCUUGCUGCUUUGGGACCAAGGGAAAACGGCACAGACCGAGGCUGAUCUGGAAGCAAACAAGAAGCUAUCUGGAGGGAGACCAUCUACUCUGACUUAAGCAAUGAGCUGUUGACAGCCAGGCCUGGUGGGAAGCUGCAAUCCCAGGACUUAGGACUCUGCGGCAGAAAGAGAAAGAGUUUGGGUCAGCCUGGGCUACGUAGAAGACCUUGUCACCAAACCAAUAAGAUGAAGCAAGACAAAACAGUAGAUCUGAGGAGCCUGCAAGGCCCCAAAAUAAAGAUAUCUUUUACUAAAACUACUUCUAUUAAUAUCAGAGCUCUAGAACUGAAAACAAGUUUAAAGAUAGCUUGUUCUAUGAGCCCACAAGCUACAUCAGAGUAUCUCAGGGUAUGUUACUUAUCGACAGAACUUUACAGGGCAGGGGGACCAUUGAGUGAUAGACCUAAAAAGAUUUAGAAAGGGGGGUGGAUAACAUUUAAAAUGUAAAUAAAGAAAAUAUCUAAUGAAAAAGAAAGCUUAAAAAGCAAAAGUCCUAAAUUGAGACAAGAUGAAACGUUGGACUCUGGACAUGGCCUUAAAAAAAAAUCUAUUGAGAACCAUUGGAAUGGGGAAGCCCUGGAACUGAAGCAUUGCUAAAAUGUCUAGAGAAUUAAGAGAUGAGAGAGAUGAAAUAUUACUCCAUGUUUGCAGGUUUACUUACAUUUCUUAUCUUGGGGAAUUUGCAAAAAUGUGUUAUAUAAAUACAAGUUAAUUGUGUCACUUUAAAAAAUAAAUAAAAAUGACGUGUUGGAGGAAGUCACCACCAAAGAAACUCUACUUCAAAAAUCAUAUAUAUUAAUUUGUUUGUUAGGAAAAAGUGAAAUCAGACAUUUUCAACAAUAGGAAAAGGUAAAUUUGGAAGGCUCUAUAGGAGUUAGCCCAUCCAAAGCUGCCAAUAGAGUCUGAGGUCAUGCUCAGAUUGACAUACUGUCCCUGACAUGGGGAGAAGGCCAUUAAAUAUCUAAGUUAGUGAAGUAGGCCUCCAAGAUCAUGUGUGCGGGUGUGUGUGUCUGUGUGUGUCUGUGUGUGUCUGUGUGUGUCUGUGGCUGUGUGUGUCUGUGGCUGUGUGUGUCUGUGUCUGUGUGUCUAUGUCUGUGUUUAUCUCUGUGUGUGUCUAUGUCUUUGUGCAGGAACUGAACUGGGGUCCUCUACAAGAGCAGUAAGUGUCCUUAACCACCUGAACCAUCUCUCCAGCCAAAAACAAAAACAAAACAAAACAAAAAACCAGUCAACUUCUUGUAUAAUUUCACCACUCUCUAUGUUGUCUACCUCCGAAGCUCGUAAUUAUUGCUUAUUUUAUACUUCCCUCAUGAGUAACAGAAAUUAGAGCAUAGUUGAGUUUAGGACAUUGUGGUGGCAAGUCUUCAUUGUCAGUUUGCAGGGAUUUAGAAAAAUUAUGGAAAUACACCUCUAGGUGGGUCUAUGAAUGUGAUUCCAGACAGGUUUAACUGACCCAUUCUGAAUGUGGUAAUGUGGUAAUACCAUCCCAUAGCCUGGCUCCCACUCUGUGUGUAUGUGUGUGUGUGUGUCCACUAGGCAUUGAAUAUCAGGGCUAUGUGUACAGUAUCCAUAUGCUCAACCAGUGAACUACCUUCAGCCCCUUUCUAUAGUUUUAACUUUUGAGAUUAUUAUUCACAAUUAAACACCCAGAAAAUUGAGUUAUUCAUAUUUUAUUUAAUGAUAACUAUACAUUUGUUCUUCACAGGCCUGACAGGUUUGAAAACAUCAGAAAUACUUGUUAUAUAAAUGUGGCUCUACAGGCUCUUGGUAACUGUAAAUAGUGAGACCAACACAGGUUUCCUUCCCUUCCUUCCUUCCUUCCUUCCUCCCUCCCUCCCUUCCUUUCUUCCUUCCUCCCUUCCUUCCUUUUUCUUCCUCCUCUUCCUCCUCCUCGUCUUUUGUUCAAAUAGAAGCAGACUUUAACUUUAAUGCUAACAUUUCCUAGCCAAUAUAGCUAUUCUUAAUUAGACUUCAAAAAUACUUUUAAUUUCACAGGACCAUGAGAGCUUUGCAGUCAGUUUAUGUCUUUGUGAGCAAAGGGACUGAGGCCAGACGUGCUUAGAGGAAGAAAGCUGAGAUUAUCUAAGCCACGUUCCUAAGUCGGAGCAUGAUCAAACGAUGCCACCAGAAGGAGGAUCUUGCAGUACUGAACCUUGUGGGCCAGGAAGACUGUGACAGUUUUGUUAGACUCAUUAGUAAACUGACAGACAUCUGAAAGAGCUGACGCUUGGUUCUUGGGCAAAGAUUCUUUUUGAGAAGUCACGCUUCUCUGAUGACUUAUCAGAAUCGAAAGCCUCAGGUGUGAGAGACAGCAAUUACCAGUAAAGAACGGCAUUGCCAGAGGGCAUUUUAAGCAAAAUAAUUAACUUCUAUAGUUUUCCUUAAAGCCCUGCUUUCUCUCUGGCACAUAUGUGCCCCCAAAUUAAUCUGCUCGAGUCACAACCACAAGGCUGAUUGUUCCAAUACAAUGAAAACAGCGUUCCUGAAGUUCUUUGUGGUGAAAUAAUGCCCACGACGGAUUCCAAGACCUGAAUUCCAAUGUGACAAUCAAUGCCUGGAUACCAGUGAGUGCAACAAUAGUUUUUGUCAGCAUAAAGCAAUGGAGGAAAGAGCAAUCAAUUUUAAUGCAACAAAUAACUGGCAAAAUUCUGUGCUGUCUCCCACCGCCCGCGAGAGCAGAGCUACUAUGUGCAAAACACUCAUCAAGGGCACACAAUGCAAUGCGCGCGCGCACACAUGGCAAGUGUUUAUCUUAGGACCUUCUUUUAGCACUCAGCAUUGUACUGAAACGCAGGCUUGUGGGAAAUGUGAACUGACAUGGAGUUAGUCACGUAUGGCAUUGGCGGCACUGUGGACACUUAUAGACUAAUCAAGCACAAAGAAGAUAAAGAUAAAAUACAGCCUCUCUGUUAUUAGUUUUAGUACGUCUUGAGAACAAGUCCCACGUAGCCUACACUGGUCUCAAACUACAUAACCAAAGAUGUUCCCUUCGCUUUACCUGCUCAGUGCUGGUUUACAGGCGUGUGCCACCACGGCUGGCAUCACGUGAUGCCAGAGGGCACACUCGGGACCUCAGCUACAUUCUUAGCCCUCUGUUUUUUAAGGAAAAAACUUAAGUUCCCUGGGUCCUGCACAUUGAUUCAAAGAGAAGCCCUGCCUUUAAAACAGUCAAAAUAGUGUUUUGGCUUAAAAAUGUAAAGUGUAAGCAGUGUGGUAGUCCAAGCGCGGCUGGGACAUUUAGGAGGGUGUCUGGUCAUUGCUUAGCCAGCAACUUUGUCUAACCAUCCCCAGUCAGCUCAGGCGCACACACUCUCCUUACCUUCCCUGGUUCAUCGUUUUCUCGCCCAUGACACAAAGUUAACUCUGAGAAUCCGGUGAGAUUUAAAAAACACCCUGUGACAUUUGUUAGGUGACCAAAAGGUAUUAUUGUCGAUAGCUUUGAUCAUUGCCGCAGCCGCAGCCACAAGAAUAAGCACAAAAGGCCCACAGCCUCCACAGCAUCUCCUCUUGGGUAACAGGAAUUAAUUCUUCUCCUUAGUGAUGUUGCAUAUUAAGCAUUUUCUACUAAAGAGCCCAGGAGCCCAGUCCAGGAAUGGCAUUCUCUUCAGAGACAGCAUUGGCUCCCACAAGUCUCUGGAGUGCCAGGCCCAUUCCAAUUGUCUGUUUAUAAAACAAGUUCUCCCGUGAGACAGACAGGUGAGCAGCCUGCCAUCAUUUUAUGUCAGUUUUUUUUUUAAGGGUGUGUGUGUGUGUGUGUGGCUGUGGGAGUGGCCAGAAAAAAAUUACAGGAGUGUAACAUUCAGCCAAGCCACCAUGAUGCAGAGCAUGGUGGUACACUAGGUAACCACACUAGGUCACCAAAAUAGGCAAAGGUGAGUGACUUUUACCAUUGUGUGCUCACACUGAAGAUGUGACGACUUGAGCAGCCACACAGAGUUUAGGGAGAGUUACGCUAUAAUCUCCCCCUGCUUCUCAGUAUGUUCACGUUUUUAUUUUAAUACGGAGACAGAACUUUCUGUUCUAGUCUUUCUCGUUUUCCUUCUAAAGAACCAUUUCUGACAAUUUACAUGAGGCAGCUGAGCCACAUGGGUAGCUUUGUGAGUACUAGACAUAUUUUAUAAUUCUAUGUUGAUAAAAAGAUAUUGUUGCAUGCAUGUGUAUAAUAUGCUUUUAUUAAAAUUAUUAAUUUGAAGUUUUUCCCUUA